CCGAAUGGGGCAACCCAACUGAUACUUUGUUAUUGUUACACUUUGUGUAAUCAAUAAUGGGGUAAAACAGUUAUUAAUUACCUGAAUACAUAGGGUUUUUAAAGCAAACCUGGGGAACUGAAACAUCUAAGUACCCAGAGGAAAGGAAAUCAAUAGAUACUCCCGUAGUAGUGGCGAGCGAACCGGGACCAGCCGAGCAAUGAAUGUGACUAGAACCAGUUGGAAAGCUGGGCGAUAUGGGUGACAGCCCCGUAUAGGAAGCAUGAUUUGACGUAUUAAGUAGGGCGGAACACGGGAAAUUCG
rnacentral:rRNA from 1 species